GGUAAAGGAAUCAUGGUUGGUGUUGCCUGUAAUCAUAUCAGCCUUCAUACUUACUGAUAUUUUGAAGAAGGAAGGAUAUAAUGGCUUCACUUCUAACAGAGAAAAUCUGGAGGUAGAUAGUUUAGUGGAAAAGGCCAAAGGCCUUCAUGAGGAACCUGAGCAAAUCAGCCUGACUGCUGCUUCUGAAGGUAACAUGGAGCUGAAUGUGGACGUGGCUAAAGGAAGCAUAGUGAGGAGUGGAAACUGUGGUGGCGGUUGUGGCGGUUGUGGCAGUGGAUGUGGGGACAUGGUGAGGAGUGGAAACUGUGGCGGCGGUUGUGGCAGUGGAUGCGGGGACAUGGUGAGGAGUGGAAACUGUGGCGGCGGUUGUGGCGGUUGUGGCAGUGGAUGCGGGGACAUGGUGAGGAGUGGAAACUGUGGCGGUGGUUGUGGUGGUUGUGGCAGUGGAU
rnacentral:lncRNA from 1 species